CACGCUGUGUUCUUUCUUCACAACUGCUGCCCCCAGAAAAAGAAAGGCGGUGCAUUCCACUGCAGAAAGCUUGGCCAUAUCACGGACGACCCGGUUAUCUCUCUGAGGACAUCCGAGCCAGAGCCCUAGCUAGUCAGCUUCUGUCAUUUGGGUCCGGCAAGAUCAUCAGAGCUGUUUCUUGACCCAUAGCUGAGUGCAGAUAAUGUUAUUAAGUCUAGAUACCAAUGGCAUAAAAGAAUAAUCACCCUAUUAACAAUAUUAAUUAAACUAUAAAGCUUGGGGCAUCUUGUUUUGCUUCUGGAGAGAAGAAUAUUAACUAAGGGUGUUAAGAGUAUGGUGGCAAGGUCAAGUCCAGUAUGAUUUUUCAGGUGUGAUGUGGAUUAGGAACUCUAUCCUAAGGAGUAUGAGAUGUGACUGACGUGUUCUAUGUGUGCAAUGACACAUUCAGGCUGGUGUUGCAGGCAGACAAACUUGGCUUUUCCCUGGAGAGUGAGUGGUGAGGGCAGAGAGGUUCAGAACAAGCCACAGGAGGCCUUCAUAGUCAGGUUUUGUUUUCUUUUAGAGGUGCACAUUGACCUUCAACUAUGCAUUUGGUACGAGAUGAUAAAGAUGGCUUGUGUCUUGUCAGCAAACCAACAGGGAACUGAAAGGGCUGAAGUCUGAGCAUCACCACAGUGGUAUAUUCAGGAGGUCCUAAUAGUGUAGAGAUGGUUAUAACCUCAGGGGGGUAGAAAUGAGGAAGAAGUAGGGUAGGGUGGGAGGAUUCUGUUCACUUGAUAGAUAAGGGUUGCCACGACAGAAGGGAACAUGGCAUGGGAUGCUGACAAAAUGCAAAACAUGAAGUGCAGGUCAGAAAGAAAGAUGGGAGAGCAGGUGAGAAGGGGCCAGGUCAUAAAGGAUCUGACUGGUACAACACACAGGCCAAAAUCCAGCAGCGAAGGAAUCCCAGAGGUCCCCAAUGCCUGGUGGGGGUGAAUUUGCGAUUGAAAGAUGAGAAGCUGAGAAGGGCAGAGACUAACCUUGGAAGCCUAUGUGAUUUGUACCACCAUGGCUGUCUGGCUUUCUGCUAUGGAGAAAGCUGAGAGGCAGGACAAAGAAAUCACUAGUAUCCAGAAAUCUCUGACUUAAAGGAGCCCAGCCCUCAGCUAUUCCUGACAGUCUUCAGGGAGACGGGAGCGAACGAGACAAGAAGAGAACACUUUUGUCACAGUAUGUCCUCCACCCUGGAGUGUUUGAUAUCCCCUGCUGCCAGUCUCCAGCUGUCUGUCUAGACGGAGCACAGAUUGGACCUGUGAGAGCCUUGUUCCUUGGCCUACAAGUGUUCCAGCUGAUUACCCGGACUGUAAGGAGGUAUGAAGCUUUGCACCCAAGAAGAAGACAUCAGCUCUUUGGAAUACUUUCCACUCUGAGGCUUGCUUGUCAAGAACCAUAAAAUCAAGACAGAAUCAGCUAAAGAACUUGCAUAACCCAGUGAAAAGAUGGUCACAGCUCAGACAAAACUAUGUAAAUUGUCCCAAGUCCCAAGACAUGACUUCAGAACUCAGAACAGGCCCCUUUGAUUCCACAUCUACUGCUGACAAAAUAUAGCACAGAACUCCAAAGGCAACAAACAAAAAUAGACACGUGGUCAUCUGAAAAACUUCAAAAUGACAUAAGCAGGCAGGAGGAUCUGCCGAUGAAUGCCCAAUAAUGAAGCAUUUCAGACAUGAGAUACGAAGGCAGAAAUCAGAACGGUUGCAGGUGCUUGAUGUGAUUGCAGCGCCCUGUCUGGACUGCCUCCAGUUCCUGUCUCCACCUGUUACAUCAGGUUGUCCCACCCUCUUUGUUCAUUCAGGUGCCGUUCCAAACACACACACCUAUUACACUGUAGGCACUGCAGAGAGA